GACGAACGCUGGCGGCGUGCUUAACACAUGCAAGUCGAACGGAAAGGCCCCUUUGGGGGUACUCGAGUGGCGAACGGGUGCGUAACACGUGAGUAACCUGCCCUUGACUUCGGGAUAACUUCAGGAAACUGGGGCUAAUACCGGAUAGGAAUCCUUGCUGCAUGGUGGGGGUUUGAAAGCUUCGGCGGUUUUGGAUGGACUCGCGGCUUAUCAGCUUGUUGGUGGGGUAGUGGCUUACCAAGGCUUUGACGGGUAGCCGGCCUGAGAGGGCGACCGGCCACAUUGGGACUGAGAUACGGCCCAGACUCCUACGGGAGGCAGCAGUGGGGAAUAUUGCACAAGGGGCGGAAGCCUGAUGCAGCAACGCCGCGUGCGGGAUGACGGCCUUCGGGUUGUAAACCGCUUUCAGCAGGGGCGAAGCUUGUGGUGACGGUACCUGCAGAAGAAGCACCGGCUAACUACGUG
rnacentral:rRNA from 1 species